rnacentral:rRNA from 1 species
ACGCACUGUUUCACUGUGAACUCAAAUGUAAAAUGUCAAAAAUCAAAACUGAUAAAGUCACCUUCGGUGAUUAUUAUAAAUUUUUCAACUUAGUUUUGAAUUUUGAGUUCUAAGUUUUGAGAUCACUGCGAAGCAGUGCGAGGGUACCCGGUGAACAGAAACAUCCAAGUAGCCGGUGGAAAAGAAAUCAUAUCAGUCUCGGCUAGGCGCGAGCCUAGACGGGGAGAUUCCGUAAGUAGCGGCGAGUGAAAGCGGAACAGCCUAAACUUCCGAUGUAAAUCGGGGGGGUUGCGGGACGUCAGUAGAGAGUGUUUGCGGUAGCAGAAUGCCCCGGAAUGGGCAACCACAGAAAGUGAAAGUCUUGUAUGCGAAACCAAAAACACCUCGGACGAUAUCCCAAGUACCGUGGAGUAAUCUGCGGGAAUCUGGGGAGGCCACUCUCCAAGGCUAAAUACUCGUUGUGUCCGAUAGUGAACUAGUACCGUGAGGGAAAGGUGAAAAGAAGGGUGAGACACCCAGUGAAAGAGAAACUGAAACUGCUAACUAACAAACAACUAGAGGGAUGUACCAUUUGGUAUGUCCUGAUAGUGUGCCUAUCGAAGAAUGAUCCGGCGAGUAUUCGUUGUGUGUUAGUCUAACCGCGUCUGACGCGGGGAGGCGUAGGGAAACCAAGUCUGAAUAGGGCGUUAAACACAUAGCGUAUGACCCGAAACCGGGCGAGCUAAUCUUGAGCAGGGUGAGUCCCGCCGAAAGGCGGGAGGAGGCCCGAACUCGUUGUCGUUGCAAUGACAUGAGAUGACUUGAGAUUAGGGGUAAUAUGCCUAUCGAGCCCGGAGAUAGCUGGUUCUCCCCGAAAUAUAUAUUGGUAUAGCCUUACGUCAAAAUUUCCGGAGGUAAAGAUACUGGAUGAAGUAGGUGACGCAAGUUAUCUCCUUUAACCAAACUCAGAAUGCCGGAAACUCUCGGCGUAGGAGUCAGACUGGUCGGGCUAAGCUGAUCAGUCGAAAGGGAAACAACCCAGACUUGCAAUUAAGGCCUCUAAGUUCUAGCUAAGUUAAAGGAAGUUAGAUUCCUCAGACACCCAGGAGGUUGGCUCAGAAGCAGCCAUCCUUUAAAGAAAGCGUAACAGCUCACUGGAUGAGUCCCGUACCAUUCGGUACAGGAUGGGAAUUUAGCGCCGUAGAUGAUCGAGAAUUAAGCUAGACGCCGAAAUUCAAGCAAUGUUCAUGCGCAAGUGUGAAUGUUGGGUAGGGGAGCGUUCUGUCUGCAGUGAAGGCCACGGCGUAAGCCGGACUGGAGCGGAUAGAAGUGAGUAUGCCGGAAUGAGUAGCGAAAUCCCGAUGAGAAUUCGGGACACCGAAUACCCAAGGUUUCCCACGCAACGGUCGUCGUCGUGGGGUGAGUCGGGUCCUAACAUGAGUCCUAUUUUUAGGGGUAGUGGAUGGACAAUAGGUUUAUAUUCCUAUACGAAGAAAUAGUCGUUAUUUUCGCGCAAGCGAAAUCAAGAGUUUGUGAGCGCAAGCUCAUAAAUUCUUAUUACCUGGGGAUUGACGGAGCAGGAAUAAUCGAGUCAGGUGAUGAAUAUCCUGAUUUAAACACUAAAGCAGUUUUUGUUGGAAAAUCCGCAAGGACGUUUAACUGAGGUGUGGAAAAGUUUUACCGUAAGGUGAGAUAAUUUGAUGAUUUUCAGCUUCCCAGAAAAGAUUCGCAGGGAGAUUAUUUUUUCCCCGUACCGCAAACCGACACAGGUGGGUUGGUCGAGUAGACUAAGGUGUGCGAGAGAAGGAAGUUCAAGGAAUUCGGCAAAAAAUCUGGACGUAAGCUCUGCAAGAUGUCCUUCCGCCAACUGGCGGAUACAACAAAAGAUUGUCAAGGGACUGUUUAACUAAAACACAGGUCUCUGCAAACCCGUAAGGGUAAGUAUAGAGGCUGCAACCUGCCCAGUGCCCGUAAGUCAAACUUCUUGGUGACCCUGGUAUUUUAUAUCAGGUAAGCUGAGGAACUAAGCCCGGGUGAACGGCGGCGGUAACUAUAAACAAAACAAGACGGAUUGUAGUUAUAAAAUUUGGCUAUUUGCUGGAAAACCUGUAUCGUAGUCCCGCCUUUGGCGGGGCGAACGAUUGAAGUAUCUGGCGUUACUCGCCCCGAUUAUGAUAUUAUCGGGACAGUGAAAAAACGACCAGGGCAGAUUAUCAGCAGGAAAGAUCGUCUAGCUUAUUAUUUAGCUGGUUUUGUUGAUGGUGAGGGAAGCUUCAAUGUUUCUUUAAGAAAAAAGCCCGAUUAUGCGAUUAAGUGGCAAGUAGUUCUUUCUUUUAAUGUUUCACAGAAAGAUAUUACUGUACUUGAAAUUUUAAGAAAAACCCUUAAUUGCGGAAUUAUCAAAACAAGGAAAAGUGACGGGCUUCAUUUAUACGAAGUUACCUCAAUCCAAGAUAUAAACCAGAAAAUUAUUCCAUAUUUUUCUCAUAUUGGUUUUAUUUCAAAUACAAAAAUUGUAAAUUUUAAAAUUUUUGCAGAAAUUGCAAAUUUAGUAAAUGAAGGUAAACAUCGGAAGAUGGAUACCUUAAGAGAAAUUUUAGUAUUGAGAGAAAAACUGAACUUGGGAAAAGGAAGAAAAAGAAAGUAUUCAAUAAAAGAUAUUUUCCAAUAAGCGGCGAAAUCCUCAGAGACUAUACGCCAAACCCUGUACCAGACGGUACGGGGAUGAUAUAGUCCGAUCUUCAUAGCGAUAUGAAGUCUCAGAAGAGAAAUCCCGCCUUUGGCGGGAUAACAUCAAUGAACCGUCCUAUGGUGGAAUUGCUGCCAUAGUAAAAUCUGACUAAAUGCUGGAAUAUCCGAAGUAUCUUGCAUUACUAAUCUCUAAUGGUAUAGCAUUACCAUAGAGAAAGUGAAAAAAUGACAAGUGCGGACAAUCAGCAGGAAAGAUUAAAAAUGGUUGGUUGGGUUGUUGGAAUUACUGAUGGAGAAGGUUGUUUUACGGUCAGUAU